UCAAGCGCGAAAAGGGCGUUUGGUGGAUGCCUUGGCAGUAAGAGGCGAUGAAGGACGUGAUACUCUGCGAUAAGUCGUGGUGAGCCGAGAAUAGGCUUUGACCCGCGAAUCUCCGAAUGGGGCAACCCACUUGAUAUUUCGUUAAUGUUAUCUCUUUGAGGUAGUCAUUAGCGAGAUAAACCAAGUAUUUUUGACCUGAAUAUAUAGGGUUAAAAAAGCAAACCCGGGGAACUGAAACAUCUAAGUACCCGGAGGAAAGGAAAUCAAUAGAUACUCCCCUAGUAGCGGCGAGCGAACGGGGACCAGCCGAGUGAUGAUUGCGACUAGAAUAGCCUGGAAAGGCUAACCAAAGAGGGUGACAGUCCCGUAUAGGAAGUAUGAUUCAACGUAUUAAGUAGGGCGGGACACGUGAAAUUCUGUCUGAACAUGGGGGGACCACCCUCUAAGGCUAAGUACUCCUUACUGACCGAUAGCGAACCAGUACCGUGAGGGAAAGGUGAAAAGCACCCCGACGAGGGGAGUGAAACAGUUUCUGAAACCGGACGCCUACAAUCAGUUGGAGGGCCCUUGCGGCCUGACAGCGUACCUUUUGUAUAAUGGGUCAUCGACUUAGUGUAUCUAGCAAGCUUAAGCCGUUAGGUGUAGGCGCAGCGAAAGCGAGUCUUAAUAGGGCGAAUGAGUUAGAUGGAUCAGACCCGAAACCGAGUGAUCUAGGCAUGACCAGGUUGAAGGUGAGGUAACACUUACUGGAGGGCCGAACCCACACCUGUUGAAAAAGGUCGGGAUGAGUUGUGCCUAGGGGUGAAAGGCCAAUCAAACUCGGAGAUAGCUGGUUCUCCGCGAAAUCUAUUUAGGUAGAGCGUCAUCCGAAUACCCCGGGGGGUAGAGCACUGGAUGGGUAAUGGGGCCCCACAGGCUUACUGAUCCUAACCAAACUCCGAAUACCCGGGAGUAAUAGAUGGCAGACACACUGCGGGUGCUAACGCCCGUAGUGAAAAGGGAAACAACCCUGACCGACAGUUAAGGCCCCUAAUUCAUGGCUAAGUGGGAAAGCAGGUGGGACGACCAAAACAACCAGGAGGUUGGCUUAGAAGCAGCCAUCCUUUAAAGAUAGCGUAACAGCUCACUGGUCUAAAUAAGUUGUCCUGCGGCGAAGAUGUAACGGGGCUCAAGCCAUGAGCCGAAGCUUAGGAUGCCGUAAGGCAUGGUAGCGGAGCGUAGUGUGAAACAACUUCAUGCCUCUUUUGUACUGUUUUCAGUGCACCGGAGGCUCGGAGUUUUCAGUGAAGCCGGGGCGUGAGCCAUCCGGUGGAGAGAUCACUAGUGAGAAUGAUGACAUGAGUAGCGACAAACAGGGUGAGAAACCCUGUCGCCGAAAGUCCAAGGGUUCCUGCUUAAAGUUAAUCUGAGCAGGGUAAGCCGACCCCUAAGGCGAGGCCGAAAGGCGUAGUCGAUGGGAACCAGGUUAAUAUUCCUGGGCCAGGAAGAUGUGACGGAUCCCGACUGUAGUUCAUCCUUAUCGGAUUGAAUGGGCUGCUUAGGGGUUCCCGGAAAUAGCCUUCCAUGAGAUCGUACCCUAAACCGACACAGGUGGACUGGUAGAGAAUACCAAGGCGCUUGAGAGAACUACAUUGAAGGAACUCGGCAAAAUACCUCCGUAAGUUCGCGAGAAGGAGGCCCAGUUUCUACGCAAGUAUUGGCUGGGGGCACAAACCAGGGGGUGGCGACUGUUUACUAAAAACACAGGGCUCUGCGAAGUCGCAAGACGACGUAUAGGGUCUGACGCCUGCCCGGUGCCUGAAGGUUAAAAGGAGGGGUGAGAGCUCCGAAUUGAAGCCCAGGUAAACGGCGGCCGUAACUAUAACGGUCCUAAGGUAGCGAAAUUCCUUGUCGGGUAAGUUCCGACCUGCACGAAUGGCGUAACGACUUCCCCGCUGUCUCCAACAUCGACUCAGCGAAAUUGAAUUGCCUGUCAAGAUGCAGGCUUCCCGCGGUUAGACGGAAAGACCCCGUGCACCUUUACUACAACUUUACACUGGCAUCAUGUAUAACAUGUGCAGGAUAGGUGGUGGGCUUUGAAGCUGAAACACAAGUUUCGGUGGAGCCUCCCUUGAGAUACCACCCUUGUUCUGCGUGAUGUCUAACCGCGGUCCGUUAUCCGGAUCCGGGACCCUGUAUGGUGGGUAGUUUGACUGGGGCGGUCGCCUCCUAAAGAGUAACGGAGGCGCGCGAAGGU
rnacentral:rRNA from 1 species